ensembl:snRNA U6 U6 spliceosomal RNA
GUGCUCACUUUGGCAGCACAUACACUAAAAUUGGAAUGAUACAAAGAUUAGCACGGUCCCUGAACAAAAUGGUUAAAAUGGUAAAUUGUGUCAUGUAUAAUUUAUCA